UGGAGAGUUUGAUCCUGGCUCAGGACGAACGCUGGCGGCGUGCCUAACACAUGCAAGUCGAGCGAAGGGAGUACUACGGUACGAACUUAGCGGCGGACGGGUGAGUAACGCGUGGACAAUCUGCCCUGUAGACUGGGAUAACACCUCGAAAGGGGUGCUAAUACCGGAUAAUGUCGAGAAGCGGCAUCGCUUUUCGAAGAAAGGAGAAAUCCGCUAUAGGAUGAGUCCGCGUCCCAUUAGCUAGUUGGUGGGGGUAAGGGCCCACCAAGGCGACGAUGGGUAGCCGGCCUGAGAGGGUGAACGGCCACACUGGAACUGAGACACGGUCCAGACUCCUACGGGAGGCAGCAGUGGGGAAUAUUGUGCAAUGGGGGAAACCCUGACACAGCGACGCCGCGUGAGUGAAGAAGGCCUUCGGGUCGUAAAGCUCAAUAGUAUGGGAAGAUAAUGACGGUACCAUACGAAAGCCCCGGCUAACUACGUGCCAGCAGCCGCGGUA
rnacentral:rRNA from 1 species